CCUACGGGUGGCAGCAGUCGAGAAUCAUUCACAAUGGGCGAAACCCUGAUGGUGCGACGCCGCGUGGGGGAAUGAAGGUCUUCGGAUUGUAAACCCCUGUCAUGUGGGAGCAAAUUAAAAAGAUAGUACCACAAGAGGAAGAGACGGCUAACUCUGUGACAGCAGCCGCGGUAAUACAGAGGUCUCACGCGUUGUGCGGAAUCACUGGGCGUAAAGAGUGCGUAGGCUGUUUCGUAAGUCGUGUGUGAAAGGCGCGGGCUCAACCCGCGGACGGCAGAUGAUACUGCGAGACUAGAGUAAGGGAGGGGGUACCGGAAUUCUAGGUGUAGCAGUGAAAUGCGUAGAUAUCGAGAGGAACACUCGUGGCGAAGGCGGGUUCCUGGACAUUAACUGACGCUGAGGCACGAAGGCCAGGGGAGCGAAAGGGAUUAGAUACCCUAGUAGUC
rnacentral:rRNA from 1 species